AGAAUCAACGCUGGCGGCGUGCCUCAGACAUGCAAGUCGAACGCGAAAGUUCCCUUCGGGGGGCAAGUAGAGUGGCGCACGGGUGAGUAACACGUAGGUAAUCUACCUUUGGAUGGGGAAUAACAACCGGAAACGGUUGCUAAUACCGCAUAAUGCAGCGGCACCUAAUGGUGACAGUUGUUAAAGGCGGGGGAUCGAAAGACCUCGCGUCUGAAGAGGAGCCUGCGGCGGAUUAGCUAGGUUGGUAGGGUAACGGCCUACAAGGCUACGAUCCGUAGCCGGCCUGAGAGGGCGGUCGGCCACACUGACACUGACAUACGGGUCAGACUCCGUACGGGAGCAGCAGUCGGGUAAUUUUGGGCAAGUGGGACGAAAGCCUAGACCCAGCAACGCCGCGUGAAGAUAGAAAUCCCGUCGGGAUAGUAAACUUCGACGAAGGAACGGAAGAAGUAAGGUAAGGGACAACUACCCC
rnacentral:rRNA from 1 species